GUACCGUGAGGGAAAGUUGAAAAGCACUUUGAAGAGAGAGUUCAAGAGUACGUGAAACCGUUCAGGGGUAAACCUGAGAAACCCGAAAGGUCGAAAGGGGAAAUUCAUUCGCGUUUCGAUCGUCGGCGCGAGGCGGUCGCGCGACGGGGUGCGCGCUUCUGGCGCGCAUCCCGCGCCUUCCGCCAUCGCGGACCGGCGUCGAACGCGUGCACUUUUCCCCUAGUAGGACGUCGCGAUCCGUUGGGUGCCGAUCUAAGGCCCGCGAGGGAGCCCGGGCGCGUGCGGUUCGCGCCGCAUCGCCCGGACCCGCGGUGCAUCCCCCGGUCGGCCCGCUCGACGGUAUACAGAUGGCGCGGGGCCGCUACCACUCAGUUAGCGUCCGGCCCGUCGCAAGCGCGUCGGAGUGUCGAAGAUCGGACCUGGUGCCGAUCCCGGCCCCCGAUGACUGUUGGCGACGGUGUUUUCUCGGACAGACCUCGUCUCGAAACGCCGAUCUGCGACGCUAUAGCUUUGGGUACUUUCAGGACCCGUCUUGAAACACGGACCAAGGAGUCUAGCAUGUGCGCGAGUCAUUGGGACAAAACUAAACCUAAAGGCGCAAUGAAAGUGAAGGCCCGCCUCGCGCGGGCCGAGGGAGGAUGGGCGGUGUGAUACGGCUUUGCAAAAAGCGGCCGCCCCGCACUCCCGGGGCGUCUCGUUCUCAUUGCGAGAAGAGGCGCACCAAGAGCGUACACGCCUGGGACCC
rnacentral:rRNA from 1 species